rnacentral:lncRNA from 1 species
GACCUGGUGCUUAGGGACAUGGUUUAGUGGGUGACAUUGGUGGUAGGGGGAUGGUUGGACCAGAUGAUCCUGGAGGUUUUUUCCAACCUUAAUGUUUCUAUGAUUCUGUGUAACACUGAUCAGAGGCCAGAGCCUGAACUGGAAAAGGUCACGUGGAACAUGUGGAACAAGGUAGAUAAGGCUGCAAUUUGCAAGGUCCUGCAGUUUUGCCACCUAACCUAACCCAUAAAAGUGGCCCAAAAGAAAGCUGGAGAAGGACUCUAUCAGGGAGUGUAGCCAUGGAACAAAGAAUAAUGCCUUUGAACAAAAGGAGGGGAGAUUUAGAUAUGAUGUGAUGUGAGGAAGAAAUUCUUCACUCAGAGCACAAAGCACACAUGGGAAUUAAGGCUGAGGAUGCACCUUGCUUCUGUUCUUUUCCAUAAAGAAUAGAAUGAAAUUACCAAAAACCCAGUGUUAAAAAUAAACCUAGGGCACAAGAUGGGAGGUGGAGGGCAGUUCCUGUGGCCAAGGGGCAGCCUUUCUCUCUGGCAAGCCAGAUGGCCUAGGGGAGCCAGACCCAGAAAAGGGGCCCUCAAACCCCCCAGUCUUCCUCCUUCUUCCAGGUGAGGGCAUUUUCCAGGCCGCUCCAAACACAGACGCCUUUGGCCAUGCGUGGGCCACUCCAUCACAGAGGCUUGCUGAGGUCACAGUGGCCACCACUGCCCCGCCUUUGCUGUGGGGCCUAUAAAACAGGACCCCUGCAGGUGGCCCACCAUUCGCUGAGCUUCUAGGCACUCUGACAGCCAACUUGUGUGGCACCGAGAAGGAAUGCGCCUAGUAAGAAGGAGAAGUGUCAUGGGCAGAGGGGUAGCGCCUACGGCACAACAGACACCAGUGCCCAAGGGACCUCUGGCGCGCAGCCCACAGACACUUACAGGCAGUACCAGUGGCAGCGCAACGAUGCGGGGAACAGGCCGCCCCCUCAGCCAUACAGCGACAGGGGGCCUGGGCCUUCCCACUGGCACAACGGUGGCAUGGGGCGAAGGCAGGAGUGUCAGCCGGACAGCCACAUGGUGCAGAGGCAUGUCUGUCAUCCAGAACACAGUGUGGGACCCAGCCAUGGCUGUAAAACAGAUGGCAGUGUCGAACCCAGGCAUGGAAAUGAACUGGACAGUGGCAUGGGACCUAGGCACGGAACUGGAUGACCCCUUGGUUCAGCACCCUGGCCUGAAAACAUUCCAGAUGGAAGGCAUCCCCUGUGGGCAGUCCCAGGCAAGGACUGGCUUGUCCUUCUGCCAAACACCGUGGAGCCCAUGGAGUCGGAUCCACCAGAAGAUGCAGAGGAACCAAUGGAAGUGGAUCCAUCUCAGCCAGAAAAGACCUCUGACUACCCUGGCAUGUCUUCACUCUCUGCCAUAA